UACGUAGGGGGCAAGCGUUGUCCGGAUUCAUUGGGCGUAAAGAGCGUGUAGGCGGCCAGGUAGGUCGGUUGUGAAAACUGGAGGCUCAACCUUCAGAGGUCGACCGAAACCAUCUGGCUAGAGUCCGGGAGAGGAGAGUGGAAUUCCAGGUGUAGCGGUGAAAUGCGUAGAGAUUUGGAGGAACACCAGUGGCGAAGGCGACUUUCUGGUCUGUAACUGACACUGAGGCGCGAAAGCGUGGGGAGCAAACAGG
rnacentral:rRNA from 1 species